rnacentral:rRNA from 1 species
AGCUCCAAUAGCGUAUAUUAAAGUUGUUGCAGUUAAAAAGCUCGUAGUUGAAUUUCUAGGCAUGAUACGUUGACCUCAAAUCGCGUUAUUAUGUCUAUCCGACACCGAACUAUAACGGAUAUUAAGUUAUUCUUAUAGGGAACUGUCAUUUUACUUUGAAAAAAUUAGAGUGUUUCAGGCAGGCAAUUGCCCGAAUAUCUUAGCAUGGAAUAAUGGAAUAGGACUUUGGUUCAUUUUAUUGGUUAUUGAAUCAGAGUAAUGAUUAAUAGGGACAGUUGGGGGCAUUAGUAUUUAAUUGUCAGAGGUGAAAUUCGUAGAUUUAUUAAAGACUAACUUAUGCGAAAGCAUUUGCCAAGGAUGUUUUCAUUA